ACCAUCUUCUCUUUACUCUUUAAACUACCUUACCUAGAGGACUCUCCUUAAUCUCUUAUCUUCUAC
rnacentral:tRNA from 1 species